AACGCUGGCGGCAGGCUUAACACAUGCAAGUCGAGCGGAUGAAAGUAGCUUGCUACCGGAUUCAGCGGCGGACGGGUGAGUAAUGCUUAGGAAUCUGCCUAUUAGUGGGGGACAACGUUCCGAAAGGAGCGCUAAUACCGCAUACGUCCUACGGGAGAAAGCAGGGGACCUUCGGGCCUUGCGCUAAUAGAUGAGCCUAAGUCGGAUUAGCUAGUUGGUAGGGUAAAGGCCUACCAAGGCGACGAUCUGUAGCGGGUCUGAGAGGAUGAUCCGCCACACUGGGACUGAGACACGGCCCAGACUCCUACGGGAGGCAGCAGUGGGGAAUAUUGGACAAUGGGGGGAACCCUGAUCCAGCCAUGCCGCGUGUGUGAAGAAGGCCUUUUGGUUGUAAAGCACUUUAAGCGAGGAGGAGGCUACCUAGAUUAAUACUUUAGGAUAGUGGACGUUACUCGCAGAAUAAGCACCGGCUAACUCUGUGCCAGCAGCCGCGGUAAUACAGAGGGUGCGAGCGUUAAUCGGAUUUACUGGGCGUAAAGCGUGCGUAGGCGGCCAAUUAAGGCAAAUGUGAAAUCCCCGAGCUUAACUUG
rnacentral:rRNA from 1 species